AACGCCGAACGCGGAUGCUGCACGUCGAACGGGAACUUGUGAAUGGGAAUUUGUGCACUUUGGAGUUUGUGGGAAACCAAUAAAGACACUGUGUUCAAGGCAGUUAAAACGAGUUGGACUUUCAUUCGUUAGUUCGGUUAUUAAGCGUGUCAGUUCCGUUUUUAUGGUUCCCGGUUGGAGGCUCUCAGUGGCUUAAAGUAUUGGCUUAGCCCCUUUAACACAAGUCAAAAACUGCUUUGAAAAGUUCCACAACGGCUGCUAGGACUUUGUUGUCGCGUUUUGCUGGUGAGGACGGGAGGACAAGGGAGGCUUGGAGGAGACACCUGAGCGGAGCAUCACCUGUUUACCUGCGUUCCUGGACCCAGCUGCGGGAGAAGAGGAGAGACGCCGGUGAGGACGCGGAGGAGCUUCACGGAAUGAUCAGUCUUCUGAAAUAGAGAAGCUGUUUGGGUUUCACCUCGUUCUCCAUCAGAACUCUGCUUCGGUCCAAAGAGCCUCAGAUCUCCGUCAGCCUCAGUGAAAUUACAGCACAGGAGCAGCCACCUGAUUGGCUGUUGCCUUGGAUACCUGUAACCAU
ensembl:lncRNA